CAGAGUGCUUGCUGAGGGACCCCAAACCCCAGGGAAGUAGGGGUCAUCCUGGGUGCAAAUAGGACCAUUAUACAGAGAGGAAACUCUGGCUCCCCGGGUAAAGGGCCUGGAGGCUGAGCCAGGGCUGCUGCCCGUCUUCAGAGUUGUAGAUUACAGGUUUGGUAAGAAGGCUCUGGGCCAGGUACCUCAGCUGAGAGGGAGAGAAUCAAGGAAGACUGACUGACCCAAGAACUGAAAUUCAUUGAUAAAGGAGGGAAGAGACCACAAGGGAGUCUCACUUGGAAUUUUGCUCAAGAAUUUGCAUCUUUAUAGACCAAAGAACCCAUACCAUUCUAAUUUGAUCAAAUCUUCGCAGUAUGAAAUCAACUCUCCAAUGGGAGAUUCCUGGAUAGAAUGUGUUAAUCUAUUCCACUUAGCUCAAAGUACCUCCCCUAGUUAACCUUCUGAAAUGAAUUGUUUCCCUCUUUAAAACGUUAGCUCUGGAAGGCCAAGAGACUAGUAAACCCUAAAUAAAUGCUUUGUCAUUCAUUCAUCCAAAUAACCCUCAGGAAUAUUCAUGUCACUUUUAUUUUCAUUUGAAUUAGAUUUGCUUUCUUUUAUUAGUAAAAAUAGUAAAUGACUAAGCACUCAUUAAAAUUUAGUAAAAUUGAUCAACAAUAGCAGUAAAAAUCCAGAUCUUUUGCUACACAAUCCGAAUUUCAUUCUCUGUUCCCAGAGCUGGAGACAGUAUAACUGUGAUUUUAAAAAAUACAUUUCAAUAAAUAGUUGCUUACAUUUCAAAGAUCUUGGGAAUUUAGACAAAACUUAAACCAAAGAACAAAGUGAAACUAAUCCCAUCUGUAAACAAAUAAACAGGGAAAUCUAGAAAUCCCCAGUUUAUUUAGUUUGAGGGGAGAAAUCCCAGGUUUCGACCUCAUCACAGGAUAGGUUCCUACUUCAGGUGGGAGGCAGAUCCCAUCAGAAGUUAAGUAGCUCUUUUGUCUCCAGAAGCCUUUCCCAGUAUUUCACACCCUCCUUACUGAGGAUCGAACUUGGGACCUUCAGCUUGACGUGCUACCUACUGUGUCCAAGCUGAAGUGGAUGUCUAUUGUCUGGUGAAGUGGGACCUUCCCUCAGGGGGAAACCUAUCCUGUGAUAAGGUCAAAACCUGGGGUUUCUCCCCUCAAACUAAAUAAACGGGAUUUCUAGAUUUCCAUGUUGACAGAUCUAAUCAACAAACUUUUGUUUAGCUUGUAGUAAACUAAAUAAGCAUUAGUAAUGUAUUGUUUAUCUAUUUACCAAUUACCAAAAAACAACAACACACCACCACUUUUACCUUCCAUCUUAGAAUUAAUUGCUCUGUAU